GGCAAAUGUAAGCUACAGGACCAGGAAGC
rnacentral:piRNA from 1 species